rnacentral:rRNA from 1 species
GGGUUGUGAGGUUAAGCGACUAAGCGUACACGGUGGAUGCCCUGGCAGUCAGAGGCGAUGAAGGGCGUGCUAAUCUGCGAUAAGCGCCGGUAAGGUGAUAUGAACCGUUAUAACCGGCGAUACCCGAAUGGGGAAACCCAGUGUGACUCGUCACACUAUCAUUAACUGAAUCCAUAGGUUAAUGAGGCGAACCGGGGGAACUGAAACAUCUAAGUACCCCGAGGAAAAGAAAUCAACCGAGAUUCCCCCAGUAGCGGCGAGCGAACGGGGAGGAGCCCAGAGCCUGAAUCAGCAUGUGUGUUAGUGGAAGCGUCUGGAAAGGCGCGCGAUACAGGGUGACAGCCCCGUACACAAAAGCGCAUGUGCUGUGAGCUCGAUGAGUAGGGCGGGACACGUGGUAUCCUGUCUGAAUAUGGGGGGACCAUCCUCCAAGGCUAAAUACUCCUGACUGACCGAUAGUGAACCAGUACCGUGAGGGAAAGGCGAAAAGAACCCCGGCGAGGGGAGUGAAAAAGAACCUGAAACCGUGUACGUACAAGCAGUGGGAGCCCCACCACCAAAGCAUUUGCUGUACCGCGUUGACGGAGCGAAGCGACGUCAAACCGAUAAAACAGCAGUGUAAAGUGAGCCGCAGGGCGCUUUGCGCGACAGCGCAAAGGCAGGCGGUUUCGCGUAGCGAAAGCGAAUGCUUUGGGGUGGGGUGACUGCGUACCUUUUGUAUAAUGGGUCAGCGACUUAUAUUCUGUAGCAAGGUUAACCGAAUAGGGGAGCCGGAGGGAAACCGAGUCUUAAUUGGGCGUUAAGUUGCAGGGUAUAGACCCGAAACCCGGUGAUCUAGCCAUGGGCAGGUUGAAGGUUGGGUAACACUAACUGGAGGACCGAACCGACUAAUGUUGAAAAAUUAGCGGAUGACCUGUGGCUGGGGGUGAAAGGCCAAUCAAACCGGGAGAUAGCUGGUUCUCCCCGAAAGCUAUUUAGGUAGCGCCUCGUGAAUUCAUCUCCGGGGGUAGAGCACUGUUUCGGCUAGGGGGCCAUCCCGGCUUACCAACCCGAUGCAAACUGCGAAUACCGGAGAAUGUUAUCACGGGAGACACACGGCGGGUGCUAACGUCCGUCGUGAAGAGGGAAACAACCCAGACCGCCAGCUAAGGUCCCAAAGUCAUGGUUAAGUGGGAAACGAUGUGGGAAGGCCCAGACAGCCAGGAUGUUGGCUUAGAAGCAGCCAUCAUUUAAAGAAAGCGUAAUAGCUCACUGGUCGAGUCGGCCUGCGCGGAAGAUGUAACGGGGCUAAACCAUGCACCGAAGCUGCGGCAGCGACACUGUGUGUUGUUGGGUAGGGGAGCGUUCUGUAAGCCUGUGAAGGUGUGUCGUGAGGCAUGCUGGAGGUAUCAGAAGUGCGAAUGCUGACAUAAGUAACGAUAAAGCGGGUGAAAAGCCCGCUCGCCGGAAGACCAAGGGUUCCUGUCCAACGUUAAUCGGGGCAGGGUGAGUCGACCCCUAAGGCGAGGCCGAAAGGCGUAGUCGAUGGGAAACGGGUUAAUAUUCCCGUACUUGGUGUUACUGCGAAGGGGGGACGGAGAAGGCUAUGUUGGCCGGGCGACGGUUGUCCCGGUUUAAGCGUGUAGGUGUGUGUUCUAGGUAAAUCCGGUUCACUUUAACACUGAGGCGUGACGACGAGGCACUACGGUGCUGAAGCAACAAAUGCCCUGCUUCCAGGAAAAGCCUCUAAGCAUCAGGUAACAUCAAAUCGUACCCCAAACCGACACAGGUGGUCAGGUAGAGAAUACCAAGGCGCUUGAGAGAACUCGGGUGAAGGAACUAGGCAAAAUGGUGCCGUAACUUCGGGAGAAGGCACGCUGACACGUAGGUGAAGUGAUUUACUCAUGGAGCUGAAGUCAGUCGAAGAUACCAGCUGGCUGCAACUGUUUAUUAAAAACACAGCACUGUGCAAACACGAAAGUGGACGUAUACGGUGUGACGCCUGCCCGGUGCCGGAAGGUUAAUUGAUGGGGUCAGCGCAAGCGAAGCUCCUGAUCGAAGCCCCGGUAAACGGCGGCCGUAACUAUAACGGUCCUAAGGUAGCGAAAUUCCUUGUCGGGUAAGUUCCGACCUGCACGAAUGGCGUAAUGAUGGCCAGGCUGUCUCCACCCGAGACUCAGUGAAAUUGAACUCGCUGUGAAGAUGCAGUGUACCCGCGGCAAGACGGAAAGACCCCGUGAACCUUUACUAUAGCUUGACACUGAACAUUGAGCCUUGAUGUGUAGGAUAGGUGGGAGGCUUUGAAGUGUGGACGCCAGUCUGCAUGGAGCCGACCUUGAAAUACCACCCUUUAAUGUUUGAUGUUCUAACGUGGACCCGUUACCCGGGUUGCGGACAGUGUCUGGUGGGUAGUUUGACUGGGGCGGUCUCCUCCUAAAGAGUAACGGAGGAGCACGAAGGUUGGCUAAUCCUGGUCGGACAUCAGGAGGUUAGUGCAAUGGCAUAAGCCAGCUUGACUGCGAGCGUGACGGCGCGAGCAGGUGCGAAAGCAGGUCAUAGUGAUCCGGUGGUUCUGAAUGGAAGGGCCAUCGCUCAACGGAUAAAAGGUACUCCGGGGAUAACAGGCUGAUACCGCCCAAGAGUUCAUAUCGACGGCGGUGUUUGGCACCUCGAUGUCGGCUCAUCACAUCCUGGGGCUGAAGUAGGUCCCAAGGGUAUGGCUGUUCGCCAUUUAAAGUGGUACGCGAGCUGGGUUUAGAACGUCGUGAGACAGUUCGGUCCCUAUCUGCCGUGGGCGCUGGAGAACUGAGGGGGGCUGCUCCUAGUACGAGAGGACCGGAGUGGACGCAUCACUGGUGUUCGGGUUGUCAUGCCAAUGGCACUGCCCGGUAGCUAAAUGCGGAAGAGAUAAGUGCUGAAAGCAUCUAAGCACGAAACUUGCCCCGA